GCGGCUGUGGCGAAAUUGGUAGACGCACCAGAUUUAGGUUCUGGCGCCGCAAGGUGUGAAGGUUCGAGUCCUUUCAGCCGCACCA
rnacentral:tRNA from 4 species